rnacentral:rRNA from 1 species
GAUGAACGCUGGCGGCGUGCCUAAUACAUGCAAGUCGAGCGAACAGACGAGGAGCUUGCUCCUCUGACGUUAGCGGCGGACGGGUGAGUAACACGUGGAUAACCUACCUAUAAGACUGGGAUAACUUCGGGAAACCGGAGCUAAUACCGGAUAAUAUAUUGAACCGCAUGGUUCAAUAGUGAAAGACGGUUUUGCUGUCACUUAUAGCUGGAUCCGCGCCGCAUUAGCUAGUUGGUAAGGUAACGGCUUAUCAAGGCAACGAUGCGUAACCGACCUGAGAGGGUGAUCGGCCACACUGGAACUGAGACACGGUCCAGACUCCUACGGGAGGCAGCAGUAGGGAAUCUUCCGCAAUGGGCGAAAGCCUGACGGAGCAACGCCGCGUGAGUGAUGAAGGUCUUCGGAUCGUAAAACUCUGUUAUUAGGGAAGAACAAAUGUGUAAGUAACUAUGCACGUCUUGACGGUACCUAAUCAGAAAGCCACGGCUAACUACGUG